ensembl:lncRNA novel transcript, antisense to PXYLP1
GGCAUGGCAGCAACCAGGGUUCAACCAUGUAGCCAUCCCCAGGGGAUGGUAGAAACAACAACCUGGAAGAAACCUGGGGCCCUGAAUGACCAGGUGGAGCUGACUAGCACAAUCUGGAACACACAUUUCAGACCUUCACAUGAGGAAGAGCUAAACUUCCUUGUUAUUUAAGGCUCUGAAACACUGGCAUGAUGAGGAGCAACUUUCACCAUGCAGAUGGAAGCAACAUCCUAGUGGAUGACAGAGAAGGACCCUAGAUAACCCCAAGGGGCAAGGCCACCCAUUCCUUGAUUGCCUUCCAGCUCAAAUCAUUUUGGGUGAGAGAAAUUAAUCUCACAGCAUUUUAAUCCAUUGUUAUUUCACUUCUGUUUAAGCAGACAAACCAAUUUCCGAUCUAGAACUUGCUGUUAGCAGAACGCUGGUACUCUUCAUGGGGCUCCCUUCUGGAGGUGUAAUGAGUAAGUGCACAGGCGUUCAUGAGCUGCAUUAGGCAGAAAACCUCGUCACUGACC